rnacentral:rRNA from 1 species
GCUUGCUGGGUGGAUCAGUGGCGAACGGGUGAGUAACACGUGAGCAACCUGCCCUCCACUUCGGGAUAAGCCUUGGAAACGGGGUCUAAUACCGGAUAUGAGCCUGCAUCGCAUGGUGUGGGUUGGAAAGUUUUUCGGUGGGGGAUGGGCUCGCGGCCUAUCAGCUUGUUGGUGGGGUGAUGGCCUACCAAGGCGUCGACGGGUAGCCGGCCUGAGAGGGCGACCGGCCACACUGGGACUGAGACACGGCCCAGACUCCUACGGGAGGCAGCAGUGGGGAAUAUUGCACAAUGGGCGAAAGCCUGAUGCAGCGACGCCGCGUGAGGGAUGACGGCCUUCGGGUUGUAAACCUCUUUCAGCAGGGAAGAAGCGCAAGUGACGGUACCUGCAGAAGAAGCGCCGGCUAACUACGUGCCAGCAGCCGCGGUAAUACGUAGGGCGCAAGCGUUGUCCGGAAUUAUUGGGCGUAAAGAGCUCGUAGGCGGUCUGUCGCGUCUGGUGUGAAAUCCCGAGGCUCAACCUC